GCUGGCGGCAUGCCUAACACAUGCAAGUCGAACGGUAACAGGUCUUCGGAUGCUGACGAGUGGCGGACGGGUGAGUAAUGCGUAGGAAUCUGUCUUUUAGUGGGGGACAACCCAGGGAAACUUGGGCUAAUACCGCAUGAGCCCUGAGGGGGAAAGCGGGGGAUCUUCGGACCUCGCGCUAAGAGAGGAGCCUACGUCCGAUUAGCUAGUUGGCGGGGUAAAGGCCCACCAAGGCGACGAUCGGUAGCUGGUCUGAGAGGACGACCAGCCACACUGGGACUGAGACACGGCCCAGACUCCUACGGGAGGCAGCAGUGGGGAAUUUUUCGCAAUGGGGGCAACCCUGACGAAGCAAUGCCGCGUGGAUGAAGAAGGCCUUCGGGUUGUAAAGUCCUUUCGUGGAGGACGAAAAGGUGGGUUCUAAUACAAUCUGCUAUUGACGUGAAUCCAAGAAGAAGCACCGGCUAACUCCGU
rnacentral:rRNA from 1 species